rnacentral:misc_RNA from 1 species
UCCGGUUUGGCACCGGCAGUCCCCCCAGAGUCCCCGCCAUGACGCGCUGGCAACUGGGGGCGGGGGUUGCGCUCGUUGCGGGACUUAACCCAACAUCUCACGACACGAGCUGACGACAGCCAUGCAGCACCUGUGCUGCGGUCCCGAAGGAGGCCCGGCGUUUCUGCCGGGUUUCCGCAGCAUGUCAAGCCCAGGUAAGGUUCUUCGCGUUGCGUCGAAUUAAACCACAUGCUCCACCGCUUGUGCGGGCCCCCGUCAAUUCCUUUGAGUUUCAGCCUUGCGGCCGUACUCCCCAGGCGGGGCACUUAAUGCGUUAGCGCCGGCACCCGGGGGGUCGCUCCCCCGGGCACCUAGUGCCCAUCGUUUACGGCGUGGACUAC